rnacentral:lncRNA from 1 species
AUGGCAUACUCAAAUCUCUCUCUGUUUCUCUCUCUCUCUCCCCCAUCUCUGUAUCUCUCUCUGCCUUUCUCUCUCUCUCUCUCUCUCUCUCUCUCUCUCUCUCUCUCUCUCUCUCUCUCUCUCUCUCUCUCUCUCUCUCUCUCUCUCUCUCUCUCUCUCUCUCUCUCUCUCUCUCUCUCUCUCUCUCUCUCUCUCUAUCUCUCUGUCUCUCUCUCUCUCUCUAUCUCUAUCAGUCUCACUCUCUCUCUCUCUCUCUCUAUCUGUCUCUAUGUAUGUCCCGCUCCCUCUCUCUCUCUCUAUGAUUUCCUCUGUCUCUGCUCAUUCUCUCUCUCUCUUUCCUAUCCUCUCUCUCUCCCUCUCCCCUUCUCUAUAUGUCUGUCUCCCAGUCUCUCUCUCUCCCCAUCUCUGUAUCUCUUUCUCUCCCUCUCUCUCUUUCCUUUCCUCUCUCUCUCCCUCUCCCCUUCUCUAUAUCUCUGUCUCCCUGUCUCUCUCUCCCCAUCUCUGUAUCUCUUUCUCUCCCUCUCUCUCUUUCCUUUCCUCUCUCUCUCCCUCUCCCCUUCUCUAUAUCUCUGUCUCCCUGUCUCUCUCUCUCCCCAUCUCUGUAUCUCUUUCUCUCCCUCUCUCUCUUUCCUUUCCUCUCUCUCUCCCUCUCCCCUUCUCUAUAUCUCUGUCUCCCUGUCUCUCUCUCCCCAUCUCUGUAUCUCUCUGUCUUUCCCUCUCUAUUCUCUCUGUUUCUAUCCCUCCAUCUCUCUCUCUGUCUCUCUCCCUGCCUCUCUCCGUAUCUGUCUUUGCUUUUACCUCUCUUUCCCCUCUCUCUCUCCCUCUCCUUCUCCCUCUCUCUCUCUGUGUCUCUCUCUCAAAGCAAACCCCCUACCCUUUCCUAUCCCAGCUCCACCACGUUGCUUAAAGACCAGGGGCUUCCUGUCUCAGUCAAUUCUCCAUUCCAAGAGGCUUCGCUUCCAAGUUCAAGUUCAAAACAAGAUGCUCUGGGCAGUAUGGUCUGGGCAAGGCUAUGUUGGUACUAGGGAAGACAGGGAAAUGAAGUUGGAAGACAAACUCUGUGGCCUUGCUUCAUACCCAGAUAAUUCCCCUCCUCUGGGAAGGCUUCCUCCAUCCCCUGGCUGGUAA